CUUAGGCUAUUUUAUUUGCUGUUGCACCAAUACAGCGCCAAGGCGUGGAGUAGCACCUUUGGAUGUGUACGGUGCUUUCCUUUCAUGAAACUUAAGGCACUUCGCAGGCAUUUUCUUUCUAAACCUCACAACAUCUCUCAAAGCUUAAAAAAAAGAAGGAAAUCCUGUAUAUGUGACACCAUGGACGAAAUUGGAGGACAUUAUGCUAACUGAAAAAGGCCAGUCACAGAAAGACAACUACUGUAUGCUUCUGCUUAUAUGAGAUUUUUGAACUUCUGGCUUACACUCUCUUUGAAUCCCCACGGCACCAAUACAUAG